UAGACUAUUCUAGCAAACAGCAGCAAAAUACAGAUUCUUCUCAAGUUUAUAUGUAACAUUCACCAACAUAAACCAUAUCAGACACUCAGUUUCUUGAGCACAGGGACUGGUUUUGUAAUUGUCACUGUGGCAUCCCUAGCGCAAUUCCUGGCACAUAGGAGGGGCUAGAUGCAUACUUUUUGAAUCAAUUAAUGAAUUGUAAAAUUAGGUGAUAAGAUGAAGAAUCUAGUUAGGGUGGGAAAAGCAGUUAAGAUAUAGUCUAACACAAAGCAUAUUUAACAAGUUUAAGCCUCAAGGGUUAGGACUACAAAUCAAUACCAACAAAUACAAGAAAACAUCUUUCUGUCAUAGAAACUGCCACUUGAUUAAUAUUCCUAAGCCCUGCUUUCAUCACAUCACUUUUUUAACAGCUUAUGGCUCCAGCAGUUAAGCCUCUAUUCUAAGUCUUCCAUAACCAGGUCCUUCCCUAGUUACCUUUCCGCUUAUUUUUUCCUCAAAUGUUUUGCUUCAGCUCUGUCAUUACCACUAAAUAAUCAUUUCUGACUCAGGUCUAUGAUCAACAUAGCUUCCCUAUCUCCCUCUUUUUUUUUUUUUAAAUCUCUUUUUUUGCCCAUCAAAAUCCUUCCCAUUUCGGGGCCCCUGAACACUCCCGCACACGAUCAUCUUCUUUUAAAAACUUGCAAAGCAUUUAUUGUCUACGUUUCACGUUUUGGCAUUUAAUCACGUAUUGACUUGACUUUUACCUCUUUCCUAUGUACAUCUCUUGUAUGAGCUUCUAGAGUUUUGGCUCAUAUCUCAGGUCAUCUUAACUACAAAAAUAAUUGUAUUCUGGUAGUUUAUUUGUAAGCUCAUUUCUUUUAGAACUUAGAGUGCAUUUUCCCAUUGAAACAAUAUUAAAGAGGGUUAGAUACUCUUUUACAUCUUCAAAGAUAAUAUUUAACCAAUGAUCUAAUUGAACCCUGUUGCUAUGGCAACCUGAGCUUGGACCCCUCUGAGCAAGGGUCUAUGCAGCGAAAUUCUGAGCUGCUCUGUCACUCUCUGACUAUCCCUUCAAAAGCCCUUUAUACCUGAGCAGAGGUCUAUUUCGUAAGGGCUUAAUUUUCUAUAAAGGAACUUGGUUUAGCCUUUUACAUUUGUAGGGCUUUCGUUGAUUUUCUUCUGGAGCAAGUUUGUGCUUGGGGGAUGGGGACCUAAGGCCGUUUAUAAAGCUAGUGCACAGUAUUUGAAGACAAGCAAUGCCUGCCUGAGAAGUAUUGCCCAGUUGUGUUUCAGCAGGAGUGUUAAUUAAAUAUCCAUAGUGAAGAAUUGCCACUUCAAGGGAUUUGCUUUGACGCUAGUGUUAUUUUUAGAGACCUGAGCUUGCACAGUUGCAGCUGACCUAAUUAUCCUAUUAAUACAAAUUUUAAUAUUCUAAUAAUUACUAACAAGAAUCUCAGAGAAGAACUGAAGUUUUUAGAGGAUUGUCAAGAGGAGGGAAUGAACUCUAAAAUUUCUUGCAGUUUUGCUUUGUGGAGAUUUAAAUCAGCUCCCUUCCAUUUUCUUUGAGUGUUUCUUUUAAUAGAUUCCGCGACCUACAUCAUGACCAGCAAGAUUUGUAUAGAACUCGACUUGGAGAUUUUUUAACCUUAAUGGGAAUCCUUGACUAUGUUACUUAAACAGCUAGAAAAAGAAAAAAGGAGCCUUGAAAGUCAAGUGAAAGGCAACACACGGAGACAAGAACAAGAGUUGAAGCAGUGAGCGCUGUGCACACCUAGCGGAAAUGUCUCAGAAACGUCAUUCUGAUAUAAGAUACUAUGGUGGUGUCCUGUUGAAAACCUUCAGUGACUUUGCAGUGCGUGAGGAUUCAGCAAAGGUGCGGUCUUAUGAGGUCCCCUCUACUCGCAGCGCCUGCCUCUCAGUCACGGCCCUGCUCACAGCCCGCACUGCAGCCGGCCCAGCAGUACAGGGACCCCUGUGUCUGUCACGCUGCUUUGUACCUUCGGGCCCCGGGGCUCCUCUUCUGAGAAAGGCUCUCCUUGGCUCCCAGUCGGCUGCUCUUCCACGUGGAGCCCCCAAAGCCUGAAUCACAUGCAUCUGCUGAAUGCUUGCAUAGUGCCGCGCAAACCUCUCCCAGGCAGUGAGCUGUAUGCUCUGUUCCCUCCGGUGUUCCCCCAAAAGGCUGUCUCUGGCUCAUACCUAGUUUCUAAAAGGCAACAGAUGGAUCAACUGCCUAGAAUGAAAGAGAAUCUAGUGAAAAUG